UACAGAGGGGGCAAGCGUUGUUCGGAAUUACUGGGCGUAAAGGGCGCGUAGGCGGCCUUCUAAGUCGAGUGUGAAAUCCCUGGGCUCAACCCAGGAACUGCGUCCGAUACUGGAAGGCUUGAAUCCGGGAGAGGGAUGCGGAAUUCCAGGUGUAGCGGUGAAAUGCGUAGAUAUCUGGAGGAACACCGGUGGCGAAGGCGGCAUCCUGGACCGGUAUUGACGCUGAGGCGCGAAAGCCAGGGGAGCAAACGGG
rnacentral:rRNA from 1 species